rnacentral:rRNA from 1 species
GACGAACGCUGGCGGCGUGCUUAACACAUGCAAGUCGAACGGAAAGGCCCUGCUUUUGUGGGGUGCUCGAGUGGCGAACGGGUGUGUAACACGUGAGUAACCUGCCCUUGACUUUGGGAUAACUUCAGGAAACUGGGGCUAAUACCGGAUAGGAGCUCCUGCUGCAUGUUGGGGGUUGGAAAGUUUCGGCGGGUGGGGAUGGACUCGCGGCUUAUCAGCUUGUUGGUGGGGUAGUGGCUUACCAAGGCUUUGACGGGUAGCCGGCCUGGGAGGGGGACCGGCAACAUGGGGACUGGGAUACGGCCCAGACUCCAACGGGAGGCAGCAGGGGGGAAUAUUGCACAAUGGGCGGAAGCCUGAUGCAGCAACGCCGCGGGCGGGAUGACGGCCUUCGGGUUGUAAACCGCUUUCGCCUGUGACGAAGCGUGAGUGACGGUAAUUGGUAAAGAAGCACCGGCUAACUACGUG